GACGAACGCUGGCGGCGUGCUUAACACAUGCAAGUCGAACGAAGAGCGAUGGAAGCUUGCUUCUAUCAAUCUUAGUGGCGAACGGGUGAGUAACGCGUAAUCAACCUGCCCUUCAGAGGGGGACAACAGUUGGAAACGACUGCUAAUACCGCAUACGAUCUAACCUCGGCAUCGAGGAUAGAUGAAAGGUGGCCUCUACAUGUAAGCUAUCACUGAAGGAGGGGAUUGCGUCUGAUUAGCUAGUUGGAGGGGUAACGGCCCACCAAGGCGAUGAUCAGUAGCCGGUCUGAGAGGAUGAACGGCCACAUUGGGACUGAGACACGGCCCAGACUCCUACGGGAGGUAGCAGUGGGGAAUCUUCCGCAAUGGACGAAAGUCUGACGGAGCAACGCCGCGUGAGUGAUGACGGCCUUCGGGUUGUAAAGCUCUGUUAAUCGGGACGAAAGGCCUUCUUGCGAAUAGUUAGAAGGAUUGACGGUACCGGAAUAGAAAGCCACGGCUAACUACGUG
rnacentral:rRNA from 1 species